rfam:Clostridium hathewayi WAL-18680 genomic scaffold supercont1.1, whole genome shotgun sequence.
GCGGUACAAACUGAGCAGGCGAUGGACCUUUUAUCAGGAGGUUCGUGGGGCCGGGCCAUUUUUGGCAGCAGGUGCAUGGCAUCUGCGGGACAGUC